UUGAACAAUAAAUUACAUUUUAACUGGAUAUUUUAACAAUUCAAAAUUUACGUUUUUCACAUGAAAACUUUCCAUUUGUGAUGUACAUAUGUAGAUAUGACAUCAAAACUCCAAGUUGAUAGACAGCCAUAUAGCAGACAAAAUUGUACGUCAUUCUAAUCCUAACGACUUUUACUAGUAUUUCGAGUAUCCAACAACAGCGCAGCAUUAGGCUCAUUGAAGGUAUAAUAAAAAGGAGAAAUGCCUUGGAGAAAUGCUACAAAUAUUCUGAGGCACGUUGAGACAACUACGAAAAAUCAGCGACAAAUUUUAUUGUGUGCGGCACAAAGAGUUCUCAUGUUUGCGCUUUUGCUGCUUAACCACGCGGUCGGCUCACCGCGGCAACAAAUAAAUAAAUAAAUAAAUACAUCUGCCUCCCUCUAUUUGCUGUUCACAAGUUGUUGCGACACGCCGUUUAUUGUUGCUGGGAUUUUAUCAACGCUGCCUGCCCGGCGGGGUCAGCAUGUUGUUGUUAGACUGUUGCAUAUUUUAUUAGCAGUAUAUUUCCAAUUGCUUGUGUAUUUAUAUGGGGUGUGUGUGUGUAUGUAGGCAUGUUGUAUGAGUGCUGCUCAUGUCUUCAACAUUGUUUCCGUUGUCCUCAGCUGCUUGCCAUUUGUUUGUUGUUGUACAUA